AAAAAAACUAUCUAUUACACAUGUGUACAUCCCAAAAUUAAAGGAAGGAAAAAAAACUGUCACGUAAAAAUCAGCUUUUUUGGCCAAAAAUUUUCUAAUAACAUUUUCCUCAACGCUCUAGCGCAAUCUCUUCACUCCAGCGCCAGUGUAACCUCCUCUACCAAACGACGACACCUCCUCUGUCGCAACCUCUUCAAUCCAUGCCCGUCAUCUCCAAUCCGCUGCAAUCUCUUCAAUUUGUACCCAUCACCUCCUCUGCCGAUAAGUCUUUUGUUCCUUCUCUCUUUCUCUCUCUCUCACGUCGUUCUCUCUCACUCUUUCCCGCAACUCCAUGGGUCAAACUGGGUGUGGAAUUUGCAAUUCUCACUUUUCCUAUGCUUUGAUUCAAUAGUAAAUCAGCUCCAAUUUCAUUGUCUGUGCUUCUAUCAAAUUAGUAAUCAGUCGGUUCCCAUUUGCGGCCUCAUGUCUAUUGUAGACAUAGUUGGCACUCAAGAUUUUCGUAAGUUGUAAGGUGCCUCACAGUUCAUCUCUCAGAUUAAGCAAAUAAUUAUCUUAAAGGACCUAUCCUUCACAACACAUCAGUUCUUGCACUGCAUUGAAUCAAUUGUAAGAUAUCCAACUACCUUUCGCUGAAAUUUCAUAGGUGACUAAAAAUGCUUUGGUGGAAUGGUUACAGAAUGCCAACUUUCUAAACCAUGGCUUCUACGGUGUAAAUAGGUGAAUCAUAGCAAUCUUGUACCUAUGGUUCCAUGUAACAUUAGUUGUGUGAAAGAAUUUUGUGCUUUUUGACCAAUUUUUGUUACUAUACUUUUAAGAUUCCUUUUGUAAGGCAAUAUGUACCUCUUUUAGUACGAUGAGUAUAAGUAUUUAUAUUUUUUCUUAGGAAGACUCCAGUAUUUUUGAAUUAUAAGUCCAUGUUCAAGGAACCCUUUUGUUUGGGGGCGUACAACUCGCAGGAAUUGCCCGGAGCAAUUCGACCCCCCUCUCAAUCACCCACGAGCUUGUCGAUCUCGCAAUGCACAAUUUUUUGUGAUUCUACCUUGUUUAGACGGGAGGAUUAAAUUGAGUGCUGAGGGGAAUUAAGAGGAGGGGGAUUAAGAUCGUAGAAGGGAAGUUAGUUGUUUUCAAUGUGAUAGUAUAGGCUUUUUCAAUAUAGACAAAUUUUUACUCUUAUAUAUGAUGUUCAUGAAGAAUUGUGCAUCUUUUAAGGGAGGAAUUUUGGGACAUGCAUGUGUUAAAAGUUUAUUUACUUUUGUGAGUGAUGGAGAGCAUAAUAUAAUUAUAAUAAUGGCUUAUCCUUUUUGUUUUUUCAUUUUCUAUAAGUUUGAAUUAGUUCAUGUUUCAUGUUGAGUUUGCAAAUUAAGUUAUGGUUGAUUUAGAGCUUUCUUGUGUCUCACUAUUUUUUUUAUGAAACUUGGCUAAUAAUAUAACCUGUCAUGUUAGGAUAAAUAAGGGUUGACGGGGUUACCCUCAAUUUGAAUUGAUUAAGCAUUCGGGGGAAGAGAGGAGGGGGAUUAAGGGCACUCUAUUUUAUAAUAAGAAGUGUGCCCUCUUGUUAUUCUCCUAAAAUCUCAUUAUUGUUUUUUCUUCAAUCAUACGUUAAUGGGAGUAUUAACUUCUGACCUAUUGAAUAAGGACAUGUUUUAACCAACUCAGGUUUAAAAGUAAUGUCACAAUUUAUUAACUUGCUCAUUUGUCACAUAGCCCUUGGGUAAACCCAUAUACUUUGUGUGAGACAUUAUCACUGUUUUUAUUAAGGGAUGGAAUUUCAUACUUUCUAUUUUUGAUUUACUUGUAAAUUGUUUCAAACUUGAUUGAAAAUGUUAUAAUUAAAGCUGUGGUUGUUGUUAUCCUCUGUUAUAUGUCAUUUUCACUGUGCAUCAUUCAUUGUGCCUUAAUUAGCUUUAAAUAAAACUUUCUUUUAGGUAAUGUUCUUUAGUCAUACUCUAAAAUGAGAUUUGUUUUCUUACUAGGUUUGGAAGAAUUCAUUUGAGCAAUAAAGUCAACUUGGAGCAAUUGAUUGAUAUAAGAUUUUUUAUAUGGUUGGUAGCAAAAUCUUGGUUCCAAUGUAUUGAUUUUAGGUUUGUUGGAAGUUAAAGAUGUCAAUGUUUAUUCUUUUCGUAUGUAAACUACCUUUUGAACAAAAGAUGGUUAUUAGUCAAUGAGUGUAGGAAUAUUACAAAGUGUAUUAUUACGUGUGUGUAUAUAUAUAUAUAUUAAAGUGUUGACUCUUUGUUUUAUAUGGGUGUGAUGUAUUAGAAUAUUAUUGUUAUUGAACUGAUUAGUGUAAAUGUGUAAUGGUAGAGUGGCAAGAAGAACAGAAAUUGAGGAAUAUGCGACAGAAAAAAA